rnacentral:rRNA from 1 species
GGACCUGCCCAGUGAUGUAAUACAUUUAACGGCCGCAGUACCCUGACUGUGCAAAGGUAGCAUAAUCAUUUGCCCUAUAAUUAAGGGCUAGUAUGAAUGGUUUGACAAGAACAUGACUGUCUCUUGUGGGAUAAUUAAAAAUUAAAUUUUAGGUGAAGAUGCCUAAAUAUAACUAAAAGACGAGAAGACCCUGUUGAGCUUUAAAAACUCUAAGGGAAUCUAAAAGGUUUUUUUGGUUGGGGCGACCUAAGAACAUAUAAAGCUUCUUUUAUUAUUUGAGACAUUUAGUUAUGAUCCAAUAAAAUUGAUUAAUAAAAUAACCUACCCCAGGGAUAAC